rnacentral:rRNA from 1 species
GUAAGGAAUAUUGGUCAAUGGACGAAAGUCUGAACCAGCCAUGCCGCGUGAAGGAUGAAGGCCCUCUGGGUUGUAAACUUCUUUUAUCUGGGACGAAAAAAGGGUAUUCUUACUCACUUGACGGUACCAGAGGAAUAAGCACCGGCUAACUCCGUGCCAGCAGCCGCGGUAAUACGGAGGGUGCAAGCGUUAUCCGGAUUCACUGGGUUUAAAGGGUGCGUAGGUGGGUAUUUAAGUCAGUGGAGAAAUCUCCGAGCUUAACUCGGAAACUGCCAUUGAUACUAUUUACCUUGAAUGCCCUGGAGGUAAGCGGAAUAUGUCAUGUAGCGGUGAAAUGCUUAGAUAUGACAUAGAACACCAAUUGCGAAGGCAGCUUACUACGGGGUGAUUGACACUGAGGCACGAAAGCGUGGGGAGCAAACAGGAUUAGAUACCCUAGUAGUCC